rnacentral:rRNA from 1 species
AGUGGCGGACGGGUGAGUAACGCGUAAGAAUCUAACUUCAGGACGGGGACAACAGUUGGAAACGACUGCUAAUACCCGAUGUGCCGCAAGGUGAAACCUAAUUGGCCUGGAGAAGAGCUUGCGUCUGAUUAGCUAGUUGGUGGGGUAAAGGCCUACCAAGGCGACGAUCAGUAGCUGGUCUGAGAGGAUGAGCAGCCACACUGGGACUGAGACACGGCCCAGACUCCUACGGGAGGCAGCAGUGGGGAAUUUUCCGCAAUGGGCGAAAGCCUGACGGAGCAACGCCGCGUGAGGGAGGAAGGUCUUUGGAUUGUAAACCUCUUUUCUCAAGGAAGAAGUUCUGACGGUACUUGAGGAAUCAGCCUCGGCUAACUCCGUGCCAGCAGCCGCGGUAAUACGGGGGAGGCAAGCGUUAUCCGGAAUUAUUGGGCGUAAAGCGUCCGCAGGUGGUCAGCCAAGUCUGCCGUCAAAUCAGGUUGCUUAACGACCUAAAGGCGGUGGAAACUGGCAGACUAGAGAGCAGUAGGGGUAGCGGGAAUUCCCAGUGUAGCGGUGAAAUGCGUAGAGAUUGGGAAGAACAUCGGUGGCGAAAGCGUGCUACUGGGCUGUAUCUGACACUCAGGGACGAAAGCUAGGGGAGCGAAAGGGAUUAGAUACCCCUGUAGUCCUAGCCGUAAACGAUGGAUACUAGGCGUGGCUU